rnacentral:rRNA from 1 species
UACGGGGGGGAGCAAGCGUUGUUCGGAUUUACUGGGCGUAAAGGGCGCGUAGGCGGUCGUGACAAGUCACUUGUGAAAUCUCCGGGCUUAACUCGGAACGGUCAAGUGAUACUGCUUUGCUAGAGUGCAGAAGGGGCAACCGGAAUUCUUGGUGUAGCGGUGAAAUGCGUAGAUAUCAAGAGGAACACCGGAGGUGAAGACGGGUUGCUGGGCUGACACUGACGCUGAGGCGCGAAAGCUAGGGUAGCAAACGGG